rnacentral:rRNA from 1 species
UGGGGAAUAUUGGACAAUGGGCCACAAGCCUGAUCCAGCAAUUCUGUGUGCACGAUGAAGGUCUUCGGAUUGUAAAGUGCUUUCAGUUGGGAAGAAGAAAGUGACGGUACCAACAGAAGAAGCGACGGCUAAAUACGUGCCAGCAGCCGCGGUAAUACGUAUGUCGCAAGCGUUAUCCGGAUUUAUUGGGCGUAAAGCGCGUCUAGGCGGAAAAAUAAGUCUGAUGUUAAAAUGCGGGGCUCAACUCCGUAUUGCGUUGGAAACUGUUUUUCUAGAGUACUGGAGAGGUGGGCGGAACUACAAGUGUAGAGGUGAAAUUCGUAGAUAUUUGUAGGAAUGCCGAUGGAGAAGUCAGCUCACUGGACAGAUACUGACGCUAAAGCGCGAAAGCGUGGGGAGCAAACAGG